ACAAAUUAAACGACAAAAGAAAGGGAAGGUAACCCAGCUUUAUGAGCUGUCAUUUCUAAACCUUGUUGAAAAAAUCUUCUUUCUCAAUUAUAGCAGCUCCUGGAGAAGAUCAAUCGUCUGGCAAAAAUAAAUGGUUCUCUUCUCAAUCUUAAACCUUCGGUUCUUCUUCAACACCAUCCGCGAUCGACUUCAGCGAUUGUAAUAUCCAGACCAUUAUUUCUCUGGGCAAGGUGAGUGGUAUUCUUCAUUUUUAAACCCCUUGUUGCCAGUAUAUGCGCAUGCUCAUUAACUGUUCGUCUGACAUGUUGAAACUUACACUCGUAGAAGGCCUUACUCAGUUCUUUAAUAUUAUGGAUGUGUGCCCCUAUUACCGAUUUAUCUCUAUUUCUGCUUUUGACUCUUUUAAUAAUUGCCAGGGAAUCUCCUUCAAUUUCCACAUAUUUUAACCCCAGAAUCUUCCCCAUUUCAAGUCCGUGUAAACAUGCAAGGGCUUCAGCUGCAAGGUACAUUUUCGUUUAUUGUGGUUGUUGAAUUCAUGACAUCCCCAUUACAGUCUCUGAUGAUGAUUCCUGAGCAUGAUCUGUAGUUUUUAGUAUCCACUGCAGCAUCGAAAUUGAUUUUGCAGAACCCUUGCUCCGGAGGCUUCCACAGCUCUUGAGACAUUCUUGAUGUAGGAUAUAUCUGCUUUAUGGUGUUCAGCUCUUGGAGAUACUCUAAUAUAAAUCUUGCUGUCUCUGUUCCAGAUCUCCGUCGUCCUUCAUAGAUCCAUUGAUUUCUAGCAUGCCAGAUAGCCCAGAUAGCGCAAAUGAACAUACGGCAACUGUCGUUCUCUUUGUUUAGCAUGAACCAGGUAAACCAAUCCAAGAACUCCAAAUGAGAUAAAUCCUGGGGCCAAUCAUAUCGUAAUGUAUUCCAUGUUUCUUUUGUAACAGUGCAAUCACGGAAUAUAUGCUCCCUGUUCUCCAGGCCUUUCUUGCAUCUUGGACAUACUCCCUCGUUUGUUAAUCUUUUGAUUCUUAGAUUCACUAGAGUAGGCAAAUAAUUUAAGGUGGCUCUCGAAACUGUAAUAAGUAUUUUUGAAGGGAGGUCACUAUCCCAUAGCUUGUAACUAUUAUUAGUAAGCAAGUUACCAUGUAAUAACAAUUUAUACCCACUUCGCACUGAGUAUUCACCUGUUGACUCCCCCCUCCAAGCCAGAAAGUUGUCGUGGGGAAUUGUAGUGAGCGGGAUUUGGAGAAUUUUUUGGACAUCAUCUGUUGAGAAGGUGUGUUCGAGCAGCUCUGUUUUCCAUGACCUAUUGUUACUGUCGAUUAGAUCUGCUACCCUCGUUUUACUCUGAUUUCUCACCCCCUGUUGAAUAUGUAAAUUUUCAGCAUUCGGAACCCAUAUAUCCUCUUCAAUUCGAACAUCUCGUCCGUUGCCAAUUCGCCAACAAAGUCCCGACAACAAGAGACCCUUUGCAGCCCAUAUACUUUUCCAAGUGUAUGAGGGUAAGUUUCCUAGUUCUGAGUUUAGGAACUCUGAAUUUGGAUGAUAUUUAGCUUUUAAGGUUUUCGCUAGAAGAGAAGUAGGAUUUUCAAUUAGUCUCCAGCCUUGCUUCGCGAGAAGAGCCAGGUUAAAUUUUGUCAAAUUGCGAUAUCCAAGGCCUCCAUUCUCCUUUAGUUCACAUAAAUUACUCCAAGAGCACCAAUGUAUCCGUCGUUUCCCAUACCCUUUUUGCCACCAGAAAUUUGCUAUUAUUUUUUCAAUGUCUUCACAUACUGAUUUUGGUAACAGAAAGCAGCCCAUCGUAUAAGUUGGAAUUGCUUGCAAAAUAGCCUUUAUGAAGACUUCUUUCCCUCCCUGCGAUAACAACCUUGUGCUCCAGCUAUCAAUUUUUAUCUUGAUGCGAUCUUUUAAAUGUUGAAAAGCCUGGCGUCUCCUUCUUCCCACCAUGUUUGGUAGGCUUAGAUAUUUCUCAGAAUUUGUUGACACCUUAAUCCCUAAUCUAUUUGAAAUAUUAAAUCUGACCAUAUCGUUAGUGUUUGAGCUAAAGAACACAGUUGAUUUCCCAUAAUUACGCAUUGCCCUGAGCAGCUUUCAUAUUCUUUUAAAACUUGUUCGAAAGAACCCGUACCUUCUUCAGAUGCCUCCCCAAAAAGAAUACAAUCAUCAGCGAACAGUAGAUGAGUAAUCUGGGGACUCCUGCAUGCUUUAAUUGCUCUCAGAGACCCUUCCUCUCUUGCGAGUCUUAAUAGAGUCGAUAAACCCUCACUGCAGAUGAGAAAUAAAAAAGGACUCAGCGGAUCUCCUUGACGUAAUCCCCUCAUUGGCCAAAACGUUUUCCCGACUCCACCAUUUAGAAUAACCGAGUAGGAGACUGUGCUUAUACAGUGCAUAAUAAGUCGAAUCCAACUUCCAUCAAAUCCCAUUUUGCCCAUCAUUUGCUCCAAAAAUUCCCAUUCCACCCUAUCGUAUGCCUUGCUCAUAUCGAUCUUUAUUGCCGUAAAACUCUUCUUUCCCACCCUUUUGUUCCUCAUAGAAUGUAGAAUCUCAUAAGCAAGCAAAACAUUAUCAGUGAUUAGUCAACCUGGUAUAAAGGCACUUUGAGCAAGAUCAAUACAAUGUUUAAGGACGUUUUGGAAUCUAUUAGCAAUAGUUUUGGAGAUUAUUUUGUAAAGGACCGAACAAAGGCUAAUUGGUUUAAAAUGUGAUGGGUUUCUCGGAUGAGAAAUCUUCGGGAUUAAAACAAUAUGUGUGAUUAAGGUUUUGCAGAGAUUGUCCUUUAUUGAGAACGUCUAAACAAAAAUCACAAACCUCACCUCUCACUAUGUGUCAAUAUUUUUGAAAAAAGAUUGAUGGGAAGCCGUCAGGACCUGGGGCUUUUGUUGGACCAAUGUUGUUUAGUGCCUCAGUGAUAUCUUCCUCUUUGUAUUUUGCAGUUAACAUAUGGUUUGUUUCCCCACUGAUUUUCCUCGCAACACCUGAAAGAAGAUGGCUAGUGUUGCCAAUCCCAUUGGAGUGGAAGAGCCUCGUAAAAUAGUCUCGUAAAAUCUCUUCAAUUUCUUCCUCUUCUGUUCUAAGAAUACCCUCAUUGUCUUCUAGCCCUCGUAUUUUAUUAAUUUUGCGUCUCUGAGAUGCCAUAUUGUGAAAGAAAGUCGUAUUUCUGUCGCCGUGUCGCAACCAAUUUGUUCGGGCUCUCUGCUCCCAAUACAUCUCUUCCUUCUCCGUCUCCCAAUUUAAUUCUAAUUUCACAUCAAUUAUUUCUGCUAAAAUAUCAUCAUCCCUCUCCAUGUUAUCGAGCUCAGACAGUCAUUCACGGAGAUUCAUUGCUCUUUUCCGAUGUUCUCCCUUAACGUUUUUCUCUCAUCUUUUGAGGGCAACCCGGAUGUGUUCUAAUUUUUCAAGGACAUUUCCAGACGUCUUUGUCCAAACUUCCUUAAUUAGAUCCUCGCAUGACGACUCAGUUAUCCACCAAGACUCAAAUCUAAAGAAACAAUUUCCAAAAUGCUUCAUCAUUGGCGUAGUUUUGAUGAGGAUCGGACAAUGGUCAGAAAAAGAGGGGGGUAAAUUUUGUACGAAAUAAUCGUUAAAUAAAUUCAUCCAUUCCAAGUUUGCAAGCCCCCUGUCAAGCCUCUCCCUUAUAUUUGUAUCCGCGAAAUUUCCCCUUUCCCAUGUAAACUUUUGCCCAUGAAAACCCAUAUCAACUAGAUCAUAUUCUUUUAAAACUCUUCUAAAUUCCUCCAUUUGCCGUUCAUCCUUUACUCUCCCUCCAAUUUUCUCGUGUGCAUACAUAAUCUCGUUAAAAUCCCCACAUACACACCAUGGCAACGAAUACAUCUCUUUUAAUUGGCGGAGUAAAUUCCAUGAUUCCUGUUUAUUUGCUUGUCGUGGAUUCCCAUAGAAGCCGGUGAACCGCCAUUUAUUUUGGUUAUUUUCGUCGGUAAUUCCCACAUCAAUAUGGGAAGUUGAAUAACUGUAAACUUGAAUUAGAUUAUUCCCGUUCCAUGCAAGACUUAAUCCUCCACGAGGACCUUCAGCUGAGACAUCCAAACCAUUUUGAAAACCACGUCUCCGAACACGUUCUCUUAUUAUCUAAUUUUGUCUCCAUCAAGAAGACCAAUUGGGGAUUAUAAAGCUUCAAUGUAUUUUGAAGCCUUCAAAUGGCCCGAGGAUUCCCCAAUCCUCGGACAUUCCAGCUCAGAAGUUUCAUUGCUUCUGGUCAGCUGACCGUUUGGCAUCCGCCGAUAUGGUUUGUGGAAGAGCAUCGUCAUUCUUUAAAGGAGAUAGAAUAGGCUGUAUUGUUGAAAUAACUCCGGAGUACCCAUCAUCGAAUUUUGCUUUUUUUAUUCCGUUUACGGGAUAUACUUCGGGAUCAAGAUCCAGUACCUGUUCAAUUUUUCGCUUUCCAAUUUGACUCUCACUCAUAUUAGAAUCAUUGUUCUCUCUGCUUAACACACGUCGCCACCUCCUUAUCUUUUGUCCCAAAAUAUCUUCAACGUCAUUAGUGGGCCCAUCUAAGGCGGAUUUGUUUUUAAACUGGUCCCCUUCAGUACCUCUAUUUGUGUUAGAAUGUCUUUCCUCUUCUUCAGUGUACCAAUUUUUAUUUAAUUUAUCUUCCCCUUUUAUAGGCGAAACUUGAGGCGAAAGAUAAGCAGUAGUAUCCUUAAAGUUUAGCUGCGAAAUUUUUGUUCCCCUGUUCACAGAGUUCUCUUCUAAGUAAACUUCCUUCACCGUCCGAUUGGUUGUUCUCCUGGGUUCCGGCCGGAUCUCCUCUUCUUUGCGCUAAUCUUCUUUGCACUCCUUUUCCCCUUCUGUAUAGGAACAUUGUUUCAUUGUUUUUUUCAUCAGUGAACCAAAAACUAAACAUUCUUUCCCUAUGGCAG
rnacentral:lncRNA from 1 species